rnacentral:rRNA from 1 species
AUGGCACAGCAGGGGGUUGGCAUGGUAAUUGGAGCUGGCAAGCAAAGAGAGGAGGGGAAGACGAUCGAGGGUGAAAGAGAGAAAGGGAUGCAAAGCAGAGAGGUUAGCUACGGAGGAGAUGUGGAUAAUGGUUCUGGAUCCAGGCAAAACCAAAACGCUUGGGGGGGGGACAGCAGAUUUCCACAGAGAGAAGGCCCUGAUCUAGGAAAAAGUGGGAACAACUUUAGAAUUCCCUGUAACAAGUGCAAAGAUUUCAGACAUCAAACUAGAGAUUGCAAGCUUCCUAACUGUAUCAUCUGUGGAAAAAAUUCUCACAUCACUGAAGAUUGCAACUGGGUGAAACAGAUUAAGCCCCUGCCUAAAUAUGUUGGAUAUGCAGCCAGAGGUCUGGGAGUACUCUUGGUUCAAAAUUCCAAGGAGGUGGUGAGUAGUGAGCAGAUUAACCCGAUGGGAAUUGUCACUAUUGCCUCUGGGGAGAUCAACGUGACACAAUUCUUGUAG